rnacentral:rRNA from 1 species
UUGGUGCUUCGGGAACUCUGAGACAGGUGCUGCAUGGCUUGUCGUCAGCUCGUGUUGUGAAAUGUUGGGUUAAGUCCCGGAAAGGAGGGCAACCCUUUAUCCUUUGUUGCCAGCGGUCCGGCCGGGAACUCAAAGGAGACUGCCAGUGAUAAACUGGAGGAAGGUGGGGAUGACGUCAAGUCAUCAUGGCCCUUACGAGUAGGGCUACACACGUGCUACAAUGGCGCAUACAAAGAGAAGCGACCUCGCGAGAGCAAGCGGACCUCAUAAAGUGCGUCGUAUUCCGGAUUGGAGUCUGCAACUCGACUCCAUGAAGUCGGAAUCGCUAGUAAUCGUAGAUCAGAAUGCUACGGUGAAUACGUUCCCGGGUC